rnacentral:rRNA from 1 species
UACGUAGGGGGCGAGCGUUGUCCGGAGUUGCUGGGCGUAAAGCGCACGCAGGCGGUCUGCUAAGUUUGGAGUGACAGUUGGUGGCUUAACUGCCAAAGUGCUUCGAAAACUGACAGACUUGAGGGCUUCAGAGGGACACGGAAUUCCGGGUGGAGUGGUGAAAUGCGUAGAGAUCCGGAGGAACACCAAAGGCGAAGGCAGUGUCCUGGGGAGUACCUGACGCUCAGGUGCGAAAGCCAGGGGAGCGAACGGG